UGGUAAUCCACAGCUCCCAAGGUAACCUGCUUCCUUGAAUAGAUCCCUGGAAUACCCCACGCCCUCUACACCAACUUCCUUUGGGGAAGAGGCUAAAAAUGCUGUUGCACUGCUGGAAAAGGAUUUGGAUAUUUGCAUCAUUGGACGAUCGUGAGGAUGAUGGAUGUGUAUAAAGCAACCACAAAGUUCUUGAAGGGAAUGGAGGACCUGGAAAUGUGACAUCAAUUUACA